GACACAGCAAGAAGUCACCAUCUAUGAACCAGACAGGGAGCCCUUUCCAGACAAUGAAUCUUCUGGUGCCUUGAUCUUGGACUUCCUAGCCUCUAGGACUAUGCAGUUUCGCUCCUGUCACCCAGGCUGGAGUACAAUGGCAUGAUAUCAGUUCACUGCAACCCCCACCUCCAGGGUCCAAGCUAUUCUCCUGCCUCAGCCUCCCAAGUAGCUGGGAUUACAGACAUGUACCACCA